rfam:Candidatus Nealsonbacteria bacterium RBG_13_38_11 RBG_13_scaffold_7567, whole genome shotgun sequence.
CGGGGUGUAGUACAACGGUAGUAUUUGCCCUUGGGGUGGGUAAGACCCGGGUUCAAUUCCCGGCACCCCGA